UAUGGGAUACUUGUGGGGGAGGAUCUCUACAGACAUAUAUCAUGUGACGGGUCCCCUAUCCGAGCUGCAGAUAGCCUACGUCUGCAGAGAGACCAUACAGGGUUUGGGAUAUCUACACUCCAGGGAAAAAAUGCACCGUGACAUCAAGGGUGCUAAUAUCCUCCUAACAGACAACGGGCAUGUGAAACUAGCUGAUUUUGGAGUAGCAGCCAAAAUAACAGCCACCAUUGCCAAGAGGAAGUCCUUCAUCGGGACUCCUUACUGG